rnacentral:ncRNA from 1 species
AAACAAGAUGUUAAGAGUAGAUGGUGGAUGCCUUGGGUAGUAGAGGCGAUGAAGGACGCACUAGACUGCGAUAAGCUGCGUGGAGCUGUCAAGAAGCAUUGAGGCGCAGAUGUCCGAAUGGGGCAACCCAACUUACAGCAAUGUAAGUUACUCUAUUUAGAGAGCGAACCUAGCGAAGUGAAACAUCUCAGUAGCUAGAGGAAAAGAAAUCAACGAGAUUCCCUCAGUAGUGGCGAGCGAAAGGGGAAAAGGGCAAACCGGGUGCUUGCACUCGGGGU